rnacentral:tRNA from 22 species
GUGGGCGUAGUUCAGUGGUAGAGCAACGGAUUGUGGUUCCGUCUGUCGUGGGUUCGAGUCCCAUCGUCCACCCCA